GACGAACGCUGGCGGCGUGCUUAACACAUGCAAGUCGAACGGAAAGGCCCUGCUUUUGUGGGGUGCUCGAGUGGCGAACGGGUGAGUAACACGUGAGUAACCUGCCCUUGACUUUGGGAUAACUUCAGGAAACUGGGGCUAAUACCGGAUAGGAGCUCCUGCUGCAUGGUGGGGGUUGGAAAGUUUCGGCGGUUGGGGAUGGACUCGCGGCUUAUCAGCUUGUUGGUGGGGUAGUGGCUUACCAAGGCUUUGACGGGUAGCCGGCCUGAGAGGGUGACCGGCCACAUUGGGACUGAGAUACGGCCCAGACUCAUACGGGAGGCAGCAGUGGGGAAUAUUGCACAAUGGGCGGAAGCCUGAUGCAGCAACGCCGCGUGCGGGAUGACGGCCUUCGGGUUGUAAACCGCUUUCGCCUGUGACGAAGCGUGAGUGACGGUAAUGGGUAAAGAAGCACCGGCUAACUACGU
rnacentral:rRNA from 1 species